rnacentral:lncRNA from 1 species
CGUUCCCCCAUCCCUCUUUCCCCGUUCUAACGGAUUUCUGACGCGAGAUUCCCCUCCUCUCUCAGUCGCUCGAUGUAGAUGUGUAUCACAAUUGGAAGGUUCAAGAGGCGGAUUGGCUGGAUGAGUGUGAGGUGUUGGAUUGAUCUCAUUCAAUCUGAGCCCCACAUUCAUCAAGGAUUCGUUUUCAAAUAGGGCCAGUUCUCAUUUUGAGGUGGAGAGAAAAUUUUCCGAGGUGGAGAGAUUUUUCGGAAAGGAACUUGAGAGAUUAUUUUCAGUUUAUUUCGUUCUUAUAUUUCUGAUACUGGAACUACACAAAAAUGACUGAGGGUGCUGUUAUUUUAUUUUUCUUGCCGAUUAUUGUUUAGAGUUUUUGUCUUUGAGACCUCUAGAGCUCAUCUUUUCGUUAUAAUUCUGGAUUUUGUGUUAAAAUCGAAGUUAUUUGAAGUCGAAUCUGUUGCUGCUCGAGGACUGUUGUUUAGCUGCUGGUUAUUCUCUUUUGGUCAAUUUCAAUGUUGUGACGAAUUCCGUUUAAUUCCAGGUUUAUUCCUUUUCUUCUCAUAUGUUUCUUCCGCGAAGCAAAUCAUGGAUAAUUGUAAAUUGCCUAAGUUUGAGAUAAUAGCAAAGUUUGUGUGGUUGGUGUUAGGUGUAUUUACUGCCCCGCAUUCAACCUUUUCCAUGUUUCCUAUGUUGGUUAACGAGUGUUCAGAUGAUCCUCUUAUCUUAAAAUUCAUUUGAACUUGUAAGUGUGUGUGUUCAUCAGCCUCGUCUAUCACUGUUCGAUCAUAGUUUAGCUUUUUUUUUUAAAAAGAAUGUUUGAGAGUUGGUUUUUAAAUGGUCUGAAGUUUGAUUUUGCUUGGUGUUCUUUUAUCCUACUGUUCAAGUGGGUUUGUUGUUGCCAGCUGAAUGAGUUUGAAUGGCUCGUGUACUUUUCCGUUUCAUGCCUAUUUGUGUAUUAGUCGUCAUUCAGUGAAGUUGCCCGUAGUUUUCGUUCAUACCUUAAUGCUAAGAAUCUAUGGUUGUCUGAAGAUUUGAAUUUCAGUAAGUUGAAUCAGCUAUUUAUACACUCAAGUUUCCAGUAAUCUGCUGCACUUUUGGCUAGGAUUGGAUCACUGCAGUUGUUAUUCUAUUGAAAUUAGGACUAAAGAUGUUGGUCUAGCUGUGUGCUGAAGUUAGGCUGCUAGUUUUGUUCCUGCCCUAAAUGUUAGAAAUGUGCAGACCAUCUGCUUUGCUUCUUUCAACAUGAGUAUGCUGCGUAAGCAAUUUGAAGUGCUAGUUUCCGUUAGAGUGUUUGCUUUUGGCGACUGUGACUGUGAUAAUCGUGUUUCUUAGAUUUUGGUUUAAAACAAGAGGUUAAGUUAAAUUUGUCAUGCGAAAUAUGUAUGUGCAGAACUGCAUCCAUUCCUUCUCUUUCACCUGAAUAUCAGUCUUGCAUUUGAUCUUAAAAUAACUGAAUCAUCUCUGAUUUACCUUAGAUUGUAUUCACUACUCAUACUGUAUUGUCAACUAUAGAUCAUCUUUAGCCUCUUUGGAUAUUUGCGUAGACUGCUAUCCCUGCUGAAAAUCUGCGUUGAUUGCUGUUUGGGCAACAUAGUUCCACAAUUUUGAGUGCUAAUUCCGCAUUCAAAACCUGUCCUGUUUCUCUCUGUUUGAGUGCUAACUUUGAGUGCUAAUUAUGCUAAUUCUCAGUUUCUCUCUGAAGUAAGUUUUUCAGUUUACAGUUUGGUUAAUUGGGAUUUCUUCUUAUUCUUUCUACUGGGGUUUAGCUCAUGCACAAACUCUUGCCUUUCAAAACUUUCCCUUCUGUUUCUAUGGAGCUCUAAGCAUGAUUGAAUGCUCAACAGGAUUUGUAAGCUAAAUAUGAGUGUGAAUUACUUAAUUUGAUGAUCCUGGGCGCCUUCUGUGACUACUACUGCUGUUUUUCGCUCGAAGUAGCAUAUGAGAACAACUCUAGCUUCUUUCCAGAAAGCGUGUGUUAGCUGAAGCUUAAUUGUUGUGCUACUGUCAAACGAAUCAUUGAUCUAGAAUUGCACUCUAAUUUUUUGUUUUCGGCUAUUGGCAUAAAGGUGAAUUGAUCAUGCAUUUGUUGGUGAUUGUCAUGAAUGUCUCUAUAUGUUAGGGGAAAUUCGACAAAAAAUGUGUUAUGGAAGUUCUUUUGAUGCAAGAAUCUGUCAGAUCACUUGAUGAUUUUCUAUUUUAGAUUUGGUUUAAAAUGGCGUCUGAAGUCAAAUUGGGUUGCUAAGCUGCUAACAAUCUUCUGUAAGGUGACAUGGAUCCUUCAGUGAAAACAAGGUACAAACAUCCACACUCACUUUCUGGGCCAUACACUUCCGUAGUUCAUUUAGGUGAAUAGCUUGGGGCGUGCCAUAUUAGACAAUAAUGAUAGUGUAUGGCCCUCAAAGCUUAGUUUUGAAUUUCCUUUUAAUUUAGGAAUUGAGGUGCGCCGCGCCAUAUCAAAUCACAAAUUGUGUGACCCUCUUUAAUUAUGUCUUUAAAAUAUUUAGAACACGAGUCGUG